ACUGCAUCAACAGUCCAAUACUGUAAGCUGUAUCCCUACAACUUGUUUUAUUCUGAUGUGGGUAUGCCCAGCUGAUAGGUAUACAUGAUUCAUGUUGGGGUUCUUUAUGUAGGUCUAAAAGCUAUGCAGACAGCAUAAUUGGAUAGCGACACAAAGUCUUCCAACUGAGGUGUUGACAUUGUAAAUAUGCUUUUUCUGUUUUCCUUUAGCAUUAAGAUUAAAAUAGUACAUAAUCGUAUUGGCCUUUAAAAGCGUAAGCUGUUUGUCGAGUCAUUUUCAGGGUGUCCUUAAUACGUUAACAAGAAAACAUGUGGGAUGUCUCAGCAUUGCCUCAUUUGUCAUGAGAAAUGCCUCUUCAAGUAUCUCCUUCUGCACCCUAAUAGAAAGCUUUUGCUUCUUGCGAAAAAGAUUUCCGGAAUGGCCGUCAGGAGUGAGCACAGUUCAGUUAACUAAGGAACAGCAUUUUGUGAAUUUCUGACUUCGCUUGUCUUCCAUUUGGCAGGCAGCAGCCUGAGACGGGACUGUGGCAGCCAAGGGGACCCCUCCAACCCUGCAAUUUGAGGAAAGCUGAUGCUGGAACGGGCUGACAAUAGGCCCAGGGCUCCAAGCAACUCUGUGUUUCAGCAGUCAGUCUGUGCCUCUCACCCAACAGUGGGUUUCGCUGCUGAAGCAGGAGCUUCGUACCACAUACAAUACCACGCAGGUGUGAGGGACCUGGUGGGCUGAGCCUCCAGGUAGCCUGCAGUGUGGGCUACCCAGAUGCUUGCCUGGAUUUCUGCUCUGUGGAGCAGGGAGUUGGACACAGGUUUCCACACUGCUGAUGUUCUGCAAGAGGACAAACCCCCACAUCAUCAGCUUUAAGGUGUUUCCCUGGCACUGUUGCAGGUAAAUUUUUAAUCUCACUAGAGGAUUAAAAAUUUCCUGGUUGCCUCAAGAAUUUUCAGGAUGAAGAUGUUUCAGUUGGAUGGAAUGUUGAGUUGUGCCUUAUUUAUUCUGCAGAAAAACUCCAGUGUUUCAGCAUGCAAGAUGGAGCAGGAAUUUCUUCCAAGUUUAGCUAUGCAAAAUCAAGCCUUUCCUGACAAGAGUCAAGUUUAUUAUGUUUAAUCUCACUCACAAGGGUCUGUGAGGUUACCUACACUUCUUGUUUAUACUUAAAAGUUUAAUUAAAGUUGUCACCAAAUUUGUAAGACCAUCAAGGACUUAAUUUUAUUUUAAAAUUUAGUUUUGUAGCAUAUCAUGGAAGGGAUGCUGUUUUGGAAAUAAGAGUUAAUACUGGCAUUUGUCUUUAGACAGGUCACUUCUCACCCAGAAAACCCAUGAAAUAAUGUCAUUGUAUUUUUCUCUAGUGCUGCAUCUAAAGGUGUCUUCAGCUGUUGAUUUGUUUUAUUUUUCAUUAACAAAAUUAAAAUGUGUGUGAAGGUGGUUUUAGUUGCAGAUGUGCAUCUUUCCAAUAUCCAAGUAUAGUUUUGUUCUAUUCUGCAGUAGGAUACAUCAAGAAAGUGAUCCUGAUAUAUAAUUGAAGUUUA